rnacentral:rRNA from 1 species
UACGUAGGGACCGAGCGUUGUCCGGAAUCAUUGGGCGUAAAGAGCGUGUAGGCGGCCAUUUAAGUCCUGCGUGAAAUCCUGCGGCUCAACCGCAGGCGGUCGUGGGAAACUGGAUGGCUAGAGUGCGGGAGAGGAGAGUGGAAUUCCUGGUGUAGCGGUGGAAUGCGCAGAUAUCAGGAAGAACACCCGUGGCGAAGGCGGCUCUCUGGGCCGAUACUGACGCUGAGGAGCGAAAGCGUGGGGAGCGAACAGG